AGAUUCCAGCUAGACACCAAAUACCAGCUACAUCGAGGUCCGGGCGACAGAAAGUGAAGCAGAAGAAGAAACGACUCCACGCCAGCUUUAAGAACAAUUGAGGUUGAGCAGGCGAUGGAAUGGAUUGGUGUUGAGCGGAUUUCCCUUUUGAUGUUUAUGUAAUGAAACCUUGAGUAUGCAUCUCCAUAUGCAUAACUCACACGUUUUUCCGCUGCAAACACUCUGAAUUUG